ACUCAAAUGAAUUGACGGGGGCCCGCACAAGCAGUGGAGUAUGUGGUUUAAUUCGAAGCAACGCGAAGAACCUUACCAGGGCUUGACAUGGGGACGACCGGACUAGAGAUAGUCCUUUCCUUCGGGACGUCCCACACAGGUGGUGCAUGGUUGUCGUCAGCUCGUGUCGUGAGAUGUUGGGUUAAGUCCCGCAACGAGCGCAACCCUUACGGUUAGUUGCUACGCAAGAGCACUCUAGCCGGACUGCCGUUGACAAAACGGAGGAAGGUGGGGACGACGUCAAAUCAUCAUGCCCCUUAUGUCCUGGGCUACACACGUACUACAAUGGCGGCACGACAACGGGAGGCGAAGCAGCGAUGCGGAGCAAAUCCCUAAAAGCCGCCCCAGUUCAGAUUGCAGGCUGCAACCCGCCUGCAUGAAGUCGGAAUUGCUAGUAAUCGCGGAUCAGCAUGCCGCGGUGAAUACGUUCCCGGGCCUUGCACACACCGCCCGU
rnacentral:rRNA from 1 species